GAAAGCCCGGUGCAGAGAAAUUUGCAUGCCGGGUUUGGAGGGAGGCAUUCGUAAAAGGGCAGCAAUGUACCUCGACGGGUGCCUACCCUAC
rnacentral:ncRNA from 1 species